CAGUCGCCGCGGGAAUACAGAGGGUGCAAGCGUUAAUCGGAAUUACUGGGCGUAAAGCGCGCGUAGGUGGUUUGUUAAGUUGGAUGUGAAAUCCCCGGGCUCAACCUGGGAACUGCAUCCAAAACUGGCAGGCUAGAGUAGGGCAGAGGGUGGUGGAAUUUCCUGUGUAGCGGUGAAAUGCGUAGAUAUAGGAAGGAACACCAGUGGCGAAGGCGACCACCUGGGCUCAUACUGACACUGAGGUGCGAAAGCGUGGGGAGCAAACAGGAUUAGAUACCCCGGUAGUCCCUGUCUCUUAUAA
rnacentral:rRNA from 1 species